GAAGCUUCAAAAUCUAAUCUAAAUCUGCCUUCCCUGGAAGCCAGAGGAAAGAGAGAAGAGGGCAAGAGAGAGAAGAGGAUUGUGUUGCAGAUGGCAGAGGAAGGAGUACAGCAAAGACAUAAAAUGAGGAGGCAAUGGGAAGCAGCACAGAGUGGGGGCAAACGGAAAGGGUUAAAAAGUGUCAAGAGGAGAAAGAAAGGGAUGAUCUAUCACAACUCCAAGCCAGAUUUGGCAGAAGAUGAUGAAAGAAAAAGGGCAAAUAUAAUCGAAGGGGACUUUCUCCUGAGGUCAAGAGAAGAAGAGCAUUUCCAUCAGCAACUGCCAUAGUACCAGGAAUUUGGGCUCCUUCCUCUGAUGGGGCCAGAUGGAAGGAGUUCUGACUCUUAAUAAAGAAGACAAGACACUUAGGCGGUGAAAUUGCCCAGACACGCUGUGGAUAACCCUUCACUUAGGGGCUGGGCUACUCAGGGAAAUGUAACCAACCAACUCUUUU
rnacentral:lncRNA from 1 species